CGGACGGGUGAGUAAUGUCUGGGAAACUGCCUGAUGGAGGGGGAUAACUACUGGAAACGGUAGCUAAUACCGCAUAACGUCGCAAGACCAAAGAGGGGGACCUUAGGGCCUCUUGCCAUCGGAUGUGCCCAGAUGGGAUUAGCUAGUAGGUGGGGUAACGGCUCACCUAGGCGACGAUCCCUAGCUAGUCUGAGAGGAUGACCAGCCACACUGGAACUGAGACACGGUCCAG
rnacentral:rRNA from 1 species